ensembl:lncRNA
CGAGGGAAAGGGUGAGGUGGCAGCUGGGGUUGUAGUGGAGGUGUGACUGAAAGUGCCUUCAGUCGAGCUGGCAGCAGUGAGCUGAAAGUGUGCUUACCUUGGAAAAAGGAGAAAGAAAUAAGUUAGCUCUUAAGUUGGCAGUGUCCCCUCUAAUAUUUCCCCCUGCAAGAAGACCAGGGGGAAGAUUCUCCCUGUGUGUCAAAAGACGGGAAUCAAAGGGGAUGCUGUGCCACCAGGUUGUGUCAGCAGCCCCACCGGAGACCCAGCCAGUUUCCCUUAGUGGCCGAGAGGCAGAGCUGAGCCAGAGGAGGUGACAGCUUCCACAGGGGGAAGUUUACCUUACUGAUGGAGAAGCUGCUGAGUUCCAUUGUCCUGAAAGCAAUGCGCAUCCUUUGCUUCCUGCUGUUCAGCUGGUGGCUGCCAUGCUCCCAAAUUGCAUUUUGGGCUCUCUGCAAUCACAGUACUGAUGACACACAGGGACCUGAGCCUUCCCUAUUUGUGCAUGAAUUCACAGUAAUGGCACACACUUGACCUUGGUGUGUUGAGAGCAGAAUGAGAGGAAAAACAAAGCGAAUCCGAAUCUCCAACUCUGACUGUGUGCUGAUUUUACUGGCUUGGAGACCUCCUGUUGAUUCAGGGAUGUGAAUUCCUGCAAGAGCAGAGGACUGGACCUGAUGAUCUGAAGGUUUCUUCAUGUUUCAAAUGGAGAUCCAGCUCUUCUAGCAGCAAGUUUACUUUGUACAUAUGAAAUGGGAAGUUUCUCAUGUUAUUUUCAAUGCCAGAUAGUACAAUGUAGGACAAUCAUUUGCUAUUUUGCAGAUAACUUACUUUGGUGAUACCAAAUGUGUACUGUUAGGACUAUUGCCAUGUAAAAUAUCACUGUACUAUCAUACUGAGGCAUGGAAAGAUCCAAGCUUAUUGAGAUGGCUUUUGCUUUCAUGUGGAAGGUCCAUAUUGAGAUUUGGUUUGGUAUGGAAGUCUUCUUAGAUAAACUGAGUAUGUAUGUGAGCUCUUAGAUGCUUCUACUGCACAUAGAAAAUUGAUUAGCACUACUGUAGCUCUUCCAGAAUAGCACUCUGUAUGGGAACAGUUGAAUCACGGCCUGAACCUCUGAUUGACCACCUGAGGCGAGCACUGAGUCAGGUGCAAGGGCACAGGUGAACACAAUUUCACCUGAGUGACUGGAAGGGAUGGAGCCAGGCUCCACCCCUCCUAGGCCCCAUUUAAGGGCUGACUCCCAAGGAGGAAGGAUCUCUAGCUGGAGGAGUGAUCUCUAGGAUCGCUCCUCUUAGAGUCCUUCUGUGAGCCCAGGACACGGGUAGGAUCUUUAUUUCAUUACUCCUUUGUAAUGUGAUAAUCUCUCUGGUCCUGUAUACCUAUUUGCCAUACACGCUCUUUGUCAGCACUCCCAAAUAAAAAUCACCUUAUCCAUAUAUAAAAGUGUGGGGAGGGGCAAUUGUCUGUUUAUUCUGCC